rnacentral:tRNA from 1 species
GGAAGGGCAAGCCGACGGGCGACGGCAGCGGUCCCGAAAACCGCCGAGCGAUGAGCCUUGGAGGUCCGACUCCUCCUCCUUCCGCCA